UACGUAGGGGGCAGGCGUUGUCCGGAUUUAUUGGGCGUAAAGAGCGUGUAGGCGGCCAAGCAGGUCCGCUGUGAAAACUCGAGGCUCAACCUCGAGACGUCGGUGGAAACCGUUUGGCUAGAGUCCGGAAGAGGAGAGUGGAAUUCCCGGUGUAGCGGUGAAAUGCGCAGAUAUCGGGAAGAACACCCGUGGCGAAGGCGGCUCUCUGGGACGGUACUGACGCUGAGACGCGAAAGCGUGGG
rnacentral:rRNA from 1 species